rnacentral:rRNA from 1 species
GACGAACGCUGGCGGCGCGCCUAACACAUGCAAGUCGAACGAGCGAGCGAGAGCUUGCUUUCUCGAGCGAGUGGCGAACGGGUGAGUAACGCGUGAGGAACCUGCCUCAAAGAGGGGGACAACAGUUGGAAACGACUGCUAAUACCGCAUAAGCCCACGACCCGGCAUCGGGUAGAGGGAAAAGGAGCAAUCCGCUUUGAGAUGGCCUCGCGUCCGAUUAGCUAGUUGGUGAGGUAACGGCCCACCAAGGCGACGAUCGGUAGCCGGACUGAGAGGUUGAACGGCCACAUUGGGACUGAGACACGGCCCAGACUCCUACGGGAGGCAGCAGUGGGGAAUAUUGCACAAUGGGGGAAACCCUGAUGCAGCGACGCCGCGUGGAGGAAGAAGGUCUUCGGAUUGUAAACUCCUGUUGUGGAGGAAGAUAAUGACGGUACUCAACAAGGAAGUGACGGCUAACUACGUG